rnacentral:lncRNA from 10 species
AUUGUUCUUGCUGGUGUGGUAUGUUCACGGCUGAAAAGAUGGUCAGAAGGGGAAAGGAGGAAGUGAGAAGAAAGAAACAGGGAAAUGCAGGCUGAGGAAUUACCAAGGAGGCAGGAGGUGGAGCAAAACACACCAAGCCUGGUGCCAAUCAUUGACAAUAUUAUGACCCUGCAUGUGAUGGAUCAGCUGACACCAUCCAGAUCGGUAAACUGGUUCAUCUGAUCUUGUGCCCUCCACCCAGGAACUGACUCAGCGCAAGAAGACAGCUUCGACUCCUUGUGAUUUCAUCCCUAACCAAUCAGCACUCCUGGCUCACUGGCUUCCCCCAACCCACCAAAUUGUCCUUAAAAACUCUGCUCUCCAAACGCUGGGGGAGACUGAUUUGAGUAAUAAUAAAACCCUGGUCUCCU